rnacentral:rRNA from 1 species
UUAAGUGGCGGACGGGUGAGUAACGCGUGGAUAACCUGCCGUAUACAGGGGGAUAACACUUAGAAAUAGGUGCUAAUACCGCAUAAGCGCACGGUUCCGCAUGGAACAGUGUGAAAAACUCCGGUGGUAUACGAUGGAUCCGCGUCUGAUUAGCCAGUUGGCGGGGUAACGGCCCACCAAAGCGACGAUCAGUAGCCGGCCUGAGAGGGUGAACGGCCACAUUGGGACUGAGACACGGCCCAAACUCCUACGGGAGGCAGCAG